AUAGAGAAGAUUACCACAGUCCGUGCCCAAGGAUGACAUGAAAAUUUAUGAAGCAUUCCAUAUUCUG
rnacentral:snRNA from 1 species